CCUACGGGAGGCAGCAGUAGGGAAUCUUCCACAAUGGACGAAAGUCUGAUGGAGCAACGCCGCGUGAGCGAAGAAGGCCUUCGGGUCGUAAAGCUCUGUUGUCAGGGAAGAACAAGUAUCGGAGUAACUGCCGGUACCUUGACGGUACCUGACCAGAAAGCCACGGCUAACUACGUGCCAGCAGCCGCGGUGAUACGUAGGUGGCAAGCGUUGUCCGGAAUUAUUGGGCGUAAAGCGCGCGCAGGCGGUCCUUUAAGUCUGAUGUGAAAGCCCACGGCUCAACCGUGGAGGGUCAUUGGAAACUGGGGGACUUGAGUGCAGAGAGGAGGAAAGCGGAAUUCCACGUGUAGCGGUGAAAUGCGUAGAGAUGUGGAGGAACACCAGUGGCGAAGGCGGCUUUCUGUCUGUAACUGACGCUGAGGCGCGAAAGCGUGGGGAGCAACCAGGAUUAGAUACCCUGGUAGUCCACGCGGUAAACGAUGAGUGCUAAGUGUUAGAGGGUUUCCGCCCUUUAGUGCUGCAGCUAACGCAUUAAGCACUCCGCCUGGGGAGUACGGCCGCAAGGCUGAAACUCAAAGGAAUUGACGGGGGCCCGCACAAGCGGUGGAGCAUGUGGUUUAAUUCGAAGCAACGCGAAGAACCUUAC
rnacentral:rRNA from 1 species